rnacentral:rRNA from 1 species
GACGAACGCUGGCGGCGGGCCUAAUACAUGCAAGUAGAACGCAGUUGCUAACGGGUGAGUAACGCGUAGCUAACAGCUUGGUAGUGGUGGAGGACUAUUGGAAAAGAAAGCUAAUACCGCAUACUACAAGAUGGACCUGGGUUGUAUUAGCUAGUUGGUGGGGUAAAGGCUCAACAAGGCAACGAUACAUAGCCGACCCGGGAGGGGGAUCGGCCACACCGGGACUGAGGAACGGCCCAGACUCCUACGGGAGGCAGCAGUAGGGAAUCUUCGGAAAUGGACGGAAGUCUGACCGAGCAACGCCGCGGGAGUGAAGAAGGUUUUCGGAUCGUAAAGCUCUGUUGUAAGAGAAGCGGUAUCUUACCAGAAAGGGACGGCUAACUACGUGCCAGCCGCCGCGGUAAUUC